UUUGGGUUGCCCGAUUGGGUGGUGAGUGGUUCGUAUCGGGAACAAAAACGUUAUAGUGAUUGUAAAGUACGAUUAGUUAUGAGAUUUUUUAAAAGUUUAAGGUUCUUGUAAUAUGAUUAGGGUGUCUUUGAAGUUUUGGCAGAAUAUAUUGGUGGACUCCUUGUUUUCUAUAGUAAGAAUAUAACAAUUAUUGGGUUUAUAUUGAUCUAAUAGGUACUGUUUAGGUAUUGUUGAUUCUUGACUUUCCACUUCGGUACUACUCAAUCUGGGUUAAGAAUUAUCAUACUAUUAACGGUAUAUCAAAUGUUCCAUAAUAAUCUUCAUAGCUAACAAUACAUCAAAUAGUUAAGGUUUUCUAUUUUUUAUGAGUUUAGCCUAUAUUUUGUUGGUAAAAAAAAAGAAAACAAUUGCGGAAUUCAUUUUUAAAACUUUUGUUGAUAUGAGUUAUAAGUAACAUAAAAACAACAUAAAUAUAUUAUUUCUCGAAUAUAAUAAUUCAUAAAUAUAUAAUCUAAAAUUUUAUUUAUAAAUAUUAUAAAGCCACAAUUUAUAUUAUAUUUUAUGCUACUUGCUUAUUUUUUUAGAAAAAGAUAAUAAAUUGGCAUUUUCUACUUAUUAGAAUUAUAAAAUUUAAGAAGAAAUAUAUUAAAAAAUAUAUUAAAUACAAGAAAAGUAAAUACUGUGAAAAUAGUAAAAUAGAUAUAUGUGUGU
rnacentral:lncRNA from 1 species